UAGCCAUGGUGAGGGCACCGAUUUAACAAAUCUUUGAAUUUUCCUAAACUUGAUAGAAUAUUUCAUUGUAUUUUUGGGAAAAUGUAUAAAUCUGUCGUUUUAGACU